rnacentral:sRNA from 1 species
GCUGGAUGCGGUGGUGCACACCUGUAAUCCCAGCAGCUCAGGAGGCUGAAAUGGGAGGAUCAUGAGUUCAAAGCCAGCCUCAGCAAUGGUGAGACACUAGGCAACUCAAUGAGACCCUGUCUCUA